rnacentral:lncRNA from 1 species
AAACAGGACGAAAUGAUGAAUGAAAGUACAACGCGUCAACUUGGUGUUGCCUCGGACAGCGCGGAGAUCCCAAAAACUCCGAAUCCUACCCCGAACGAGAAUAAGAAGUGAAAAAAAAAUUGGCGAUUGUGAGAUAAAAAAAAGUCCAAGAAACAAAAAGAAAAAAAGUCCGCACCUGCGUCGGAUACUGCGCAACUCCACAAGGUGGCCAGAUCCACCCCGAACCAGCGGGACAAGCGAGUCUCUCGGAAUCCGCGGUUCCGAAAGACUCGCACUGACGGUCCGCCGAAGCAGACGUCUUCGGACCCGCGGACGACGGAGGAACGCGCAUUAGCGGUAGUGGUGAACACGAUACUCAA